rnacentral:rRNA from 1 species
UAUUCGGCAGUGAGAGUGGCGCACGGGUGCGUAACACGUGGGCAAUUUGCCGUAAAGUCUGGAAUAACUUGCUGAAAGGCGAGCUAACACCGGAUGUGACUCUUAGGAGGCAUCUCUUGGGAUUUAAAGUCGGGGACCGCAAGGCCUGACGCUUUUCGAUAAACCCGCGGCCUAUCAGCUAGUUGGUGAGGUAAUGGCUCACCAAGGCUAAGACGGGUAGCUGGUCUGAGAGGACGACCAGCCACACUGGAACUGAGACACGGUCCAGACACCUACGGGUGGCAGCAGUCGAGAAUUUUUCACAAUGGGCGCAAGCCUGAUGGAGCGACGCCGCGUGGGGGAUGAAUGGCUUCGGCCCGUAAACCCCUGUCAUUCGCGAUCAAACCUCACGACCCAACACGUCGUGAGUUGAUAGUAGCGGAAGAGGAAGGGACGGCUAACUCUGUGCCAGCAGCCGCGGUAAUACAGAGGUCCCAAGCGUUGUUCGGAUUCACUGGGCGUAAAGGGUGCGUAGGCGGUCGGGUAAGUCUGACGUGAAAUAUCGGAGCUUAACUCCGAAACGGCGUCGGAGACUAUUCGGCUAGAGGAUUGGAGGGGGGGCUGGAAUUCUCGGUGUAGCAGUGAAAUGCGUAGAUAUCGAGAGGAACACCCGUGGCGAAGGCGAGUCCCUGGACAAUUCCUGACGCUGAGGCACGAAAGCUAGGGGAGCAAACAGGAUUAGAUACCCUGGUAGUCCUAGCCCUAAACUGUGCAUGUUUGCUGUGAGAGGAAUCGACCCCUUUCGUGGCGAAGCUAACGCGUUAAACAUGCCGCCUGGGAAGUACGGCCGCAAGGUUAAAACUCAAAGAAAUUGACGGGGGCCUGCACAAGCGGUGGAGUAUGUGGCUCAAUUCGAUGCU